rfam:Triticum aestivum chloroplast trnI gene, intron.
AAGAGCGCAGUACAACGGGGAGUUGUAUGCUGCGUUCGGGAAGGAUGAAUCGCUCCCGAAAAGGGAGUCUAUUGAUUCUCUCCCCAAUUGGUUGGAUCGUAGAGCGCAGUACAAGGGGCGAUGAUUUACUUCAC